rnacentral:rRNA from 1 species
CCUACGGGUGGCUGCAGUAGGGAAUAUUGCUCAAUGGGGGAAACCCUGAAGCAGCAACGCCGCGUGGAGGAUGAAGGUUCUAGGAUUGUAAACUCCUUUUGUUAGAGAAGCUUAUGAAGGUAUGUAACGAAUAAGCACCGGCUAACUCCGUGCCAGCAGCCGAGGUACUACGGAGGGUGCAAGCGUUACACGGAAUCACUGGGCGUAAAGAGUGCGUAGGCGGGGUAAUAAGUCAGAUGUGAAAUACUGUAGCUUAACUACAGAACUGCAGUUGAAACUGUUACUCUGGAGUGUGGGAGAGGUAGGUGGAAUGCUUGGUGUAGGGGUGAAAUGCGUAGAGAUCAAGAGGAAUACUCAUUGCGAAGGCGGCCUGCUGGAACAUUACUGACGCUGAUGCACGAAAGCGUGGGGAGCAAACAGGAUUAGAUACCCUGGUAGUC